GGAGCUACCAUGCAGUCGAGCGGCAGCGGGGGGAAGCUUGCUUCCCCGCCGGCGAGCGGCGGACGGGUGAGUAAUGUCUGGGGAUCUGCCUGAUGGAGGGGGAUAACUACUGGAAACGGUAGCUAAUACCGCAUAACGUCGCAAGACCAAAGUGGGGGACCUUCGGGCCUCACGCCAUCGGAUGAACCCAGAUGGGAUUAGCUAGUAGGUGGGGUAACGGCUCACCUAGGCGACGAUCCCUAGCUGGUCUGAGAGGAUGACCAGCCACACUGGAACUGAGACACGGUCCAGACUCCUACGGGAGGCAGCAGUGGGGAAUAUUGCACAAUGGGGGAAACCCUGAUGCAGCCAUGCCGCGUGUGUGAAGAAGGCCUUCGGGUUGUAAAGCACUUUCAGCGGGGAGGAAGGCGAUAAGGUUAAUAACCUUGCCGAUUGACGUUACCCGCAGAAGAAGCACCGGCUAACUCCGUGCCAGCAGA
rnacentral:rRNA from 1 species